rnacentral:misc_RNA from 1 species
GACCAACUAUGGUCGCAAACUAAGGUUAGUUAUUGUUAUCUAUACUGGUCUUUUUUUCUUCUAUAUGUCUUUUUUUCCUAUUUUGUAUUAUUCAUUGCCAUAGUGGGCAAAUAGAGAUUCAAAUCAUGAAUCAAAAUCCUAAUUUUGCAAAUUCAGAUUGAAUCAAAAUCAAUAAAAAAUAUUUGGUCCAAAUUCCUAGAGCCAAUUAGAAAGGCAUAUAUCUAUGUGAAAGAAGUGUAACACACCAAAACAUGAAGUAUUGAAUAAAUAUAUUAUCACUUAUUCUGCAAUGGUAAUAUAAUAAUGUUACACGUCCCCCUACAUAAUCUCAUAGUAAAAGACUAUGAUAAAUCAUAACAUAAUGUAUGCCAUAAGAUGCUGUAAACAAACAAUAAACUAACAGUAAACAAAUGGGUAGCAGCAGCAAUGCAUUACAACUCAAUUCAACUCAACUCA